UACGUAGGGCGCAAGCGUUGUCCGGAAUUAUUGGGCGUAAAGAGCUCGUAGGCGGUCUGUCGCGUCUGGCGUGAAAUCCCGAGGCUCAACCUCGGGCUUGCAUCGGGUACGGGCAGACUAGAGUGCGGUAGGGGAGACUGGAAUUCCUGGUGUAGCGGUGGAAUGCGCAGAUAUCAGGAGGAACACCGAUGGCGAAGGCAGGUCUCUGGGCCGCAACUGACACUGAACUACGAAAGCGUGGGUAGCAAACAGG
rnacentral:rRNA from 1 species